rnacentral:rRNA from 1 species
UACGUAGGGUGCAAGCGUUUGUCCGGAAUUAUUGGGCGUAAAGAGCUCGUAGGCGGUCUGUCGCGUCGGCUGUGAAAACCCGGGGCUCAACCCCGGGCCUGCAGUCGAUACGGGCAGACUAGAGUGCGGUAGGGGAGACUGGAAUUCCUGGUGUAGCGGUGAAAUGCGCAGAUAUCAGGAGGAACACCGGUGGCGAAGGCGGUUCUCUGGGCAUGUCCUGACGCUGAGGAGCGAAAGUGUGGGGAGCGAACAGG